CUUGCAAUACAACAAUGAUGUUUUUUAUGAUAGUAAAUAAGUUUCAUGGUAGUUAAGUUUCAUGGUGAUAUUUGUUUUUUAACCUAUCACCUGUAAUCUCUAACCUUUCCAUCAAAUGUAUUUUGUGUUCUGUGUGGAAAUAUUUUGAUAUCGAGAAUGGCAAAUGAAGUAGGGACUUUUAUUGUGACGAGUAUCAUCCAAUAACUCGUCUGUGACAUCUACCAUCUUUCUUUUAGCUGACUACAACUGUCGAGAUUUUGGAUUCCUUUUUGAGCAAGUUAAUUGAAGAUGCCGCGUCCAAGCAAGCGGUCCAGGGCGGCCAAGAAGAGAGAGGCUGACUUGAGGUCCACUGAGGUGCCGAGCAAGAGGUCCCCGGUGGCGCAGGUUGACUUGGUCUCCUGUGACGAGGUUGGGCGUCCUCGUAAAAAAGCCCACACACAGUCUUCGGACGCUAUACAGUCUUCGGACUGCCAGUUACAAUGCCAGUUACAAUGCCAGUUACAGUCUUCGGACGCAAUACAAGCAAACUCUACCAACUCUCAAACAAACUCUACCAACUCUCUGAAUAUGUGCCAUGACUCUGUUGUAAACUCAUUGUCAAGUAAUGUGAAAGAAAAUAAUGCUACUGAUUGUUGUUCUUUGAAUGAAUCUGUUGACUUCCCAGAGAGAUCUGUGCUGAUGGGCUCUUUUCAUCAAGGCGAUUCACGGUUUGGAAAUGUGCGCAACAAGCAGUGUGGUGCCAUCAGCCUGACUGCUGUUUUGAAGUCCAAGAUGAAGAACGUGUGGCGUUGGGAAACUCGAGAUCUUGAUGAUGUUUUGAUUAAGGGAACUGUUCUUUACAGGUCAAUGAGUGCACAGGGUAAAAUAAGAGACCAUGGAAGGGGUUACAUUGCUGUGUCUGAAUUACCAAGGCAAUAUGAAGUGUGGAAUUGUGAUUUUGUAAUAAACUUUGCCGAGUCUUACACUG